UACGUAGGGUGCAGGCGUUAAUCGGAAUUACUGGGCGUAAAGCGUGCGCAGGCGGUUUGCUAAGACAGGUGUGAAAUCCCCGGGCUUAACCUGGGAACUGCGCUUGUUACUGGCAGGCUUGAGUGUGGCAGAGGGGGGUAGAAUUCCACGUGUAGCAGUGAAAUGCGUAGAGAUGUGGAGGAAUACCGAUGGCGAAGGCGGGUCUCUGGGCAGUAACUGACGCUGAGGAGCGAAAGCGUGGGGAGCGAACAGG
rnacentral:rRNA from 1 species